rnacentral:rRNA from 1 species
UGAAAAGAACUGAGGUGAUCAGAGUGAAAUAGAACCUGAAACCAUUUGCUUACAAUCAUUCAGAGCCCUAUGUAGCAAUACAGGGUGAUGGACUGCCUUUUGCAUAAUGAGCCUGCGAGUUGUGGUGUCUGGCAAGGUUAAGCAAACGCGAAGCCGUAGCGAAAGCGAGUCUGAAUAGGGCGCUUAGUCAGAUGCUGCAGACCCGAAACGAAGUGAUCUAUCCAUGAGCAAGUUGAAGCUAGUGUAAGAACUAGUGGAGGACUGAACCCAUAGGCGUUGAAAAGCCCCGGGAUGACUUGUGGAUAGGGGUGAAAGGCCAAUCAAACUUCGUGAUAGCUGGUUCUCUCCGAAAUAUAUUUAGGUAUAGCGUUGUGUCGUAAUAUAAGGGGGUAGAGCACUGAAUGGGCUAGGGCAUACACCAAUGUACCAAACCCUAUCAAACUCCGAAUACCUUAUAUGUAAUCACAGCAGUCAGGCGGCGAGUGAUAAAAUCCGUCGUCAAGAGGGAAACAACCCAGACUACCAGCUAAGGUCCCUAAAUCUUACUUAAGUGGAAAACGAUGUGAAGUUACUUAAACAACCAGGAGGUUGGCUUAGAAGCAGCCAUCCUUUAAAGAAAGCGUAAUAGCUCACUGGUCUAGUGAUUUUGCGCGGAAAAUAUAACGGGGCUAAAGUAAGUACCGAAGCUGUAGACUUAGUUUACUAAGUGGUAGGAGAGCGUUCUAUUUGCGUCGAAGGUAUACCGGUAAGGAGUGCUGGAGCGAAUAGAAGUGAGCAUGCAGGCAUGAGUAGCGAUAAUUAAUGUGAGAAUCAUUAACGCCGUAAACCCAAGGUUUCCUACGCGAUGCUCGUCAUCGUAGGGUUAGUCGGGUCCUAAGC